rnacentral:tRNA from 1 species
GGUCGGUUAGCUCAGUUGGUUAGAGCAUCUGAUUUACAUUCAGAGGGUCGCAGGUUCGAGUCCCGCACUGACCA